rnacentral:rRNA from 1 species
AACGAACGCUGGCGGCAUGCCGAACACAUGCGAGUCGAACGAGACCUUCGGGUCUAGUGGCGCACGGGUGCGUAACGCGUGGGAACCUGCCCUUAGGUUCGGAAUAACUCCCCGAAAGGGGUGCUAAUACCGGAUAAUGUCUUCGGACCAAAGAUUUAUCGCCUUUGGAUGGGCCCGCGUUGGAUUAGCUAGUUGGUAGGGUAAAAGCCUACCAAGGCGACGAUCCAUAGCUGGUCUGAGAGGAUGAUCAGCCACACUGGGACUGAGACACGGCCCAGACUCCUACGGGAGGCAGCAGUGGGGAAUAUUGGACAAUGGGCGAAAGCCUGAUCCAGCAAUGCCGCGUGAGUGAUGAAGGCCUUAGGGUUGUAAAGCUCUUUUACCCGGGAUGAUAAUGACAGUACCGGGAGAAUAAGCGCCGGCUAACUCCGUG